rnacentral:rRNA from 1 species
GAGCACGUAGGUGGGUUUGUAAGUCAGAUGUGAAAGCCUUCUGUUCAACGGAAGAAUUGCAUCUGAAACUACAAACCAUGAGUAUAGGAGGGGAGAAUGGAACUUCUGGUGGAGCGGUGAAAUGCGUAGAUAUCAGAAGGAACGCCGACGGCGAAAGCGAUUCUCUGGCCUAUUACUGACACUCAGUGUGCGAAAGCUAGGGGAGCAAACGGGAUUAGAUACCCCGGUAGUCCUAGCCGUAAACGAUGGGCACUAAGUAGAGGGGUUUU